rnacentral:lncRNA from 1 species
GAAUUUGUCCUCGCACGUGUUGAUAUAUUGUUGCACAUUGUAUUAUAGUGGUAUUUGAUAACUGUUGGCAACAGAACAAAAACAGCACGUCGCAGCUAAUUACCAGGCGAAGGUGGAAUACUGACAAUGAAGUCAGCGGGAAUACCAACAGUGAAAUAAGAAGGUACGUGCAUUCAGUUACCGACAAAAUAUACAUGAAUGUCUUACAAUAAUAUAAAGCUUUUGAUUUAUCGGCCAAUAAAUGAAAUUCUGUAAUAGACCUUUUCAAACUGCAUUAAUUAAGCUAUCUAAAGGAAGAGAAUAAGCUUCGAUCAGAAAUUGAAACCGUGUUGUGGAUUCCACACCUCGGGAAUUUAGCUCCAGCUCUACUGCCUUCAUCAAAAUAUAUCAUAUAUAAUGUAUUUGACUUGACGUAGAUGAAGUAACAAGCUUCUGUUUUCAGUUGAGAAUCAACUCUCGAUUCAUCGAGCACCUACUUUUUGUUUAAUAGAAGUUGCUGUAUAUUUUAUAGGAUUCCCAUUUUGGGAAAUUAGCGCCAGCUCAGAAGCCUUCAUUAAAAUGAAUUAUAUAUGAUGUAGUCUGCCUUGAUGUUGAUAAAGUAAUAAAGCUUCCGGUUAAGAAUCAGACACGCUAUACAAACUAAUCUUGUUCGUAUAUUGUGUCUGAUUCUUAACCUUAUUUUACUGGAUUCGCCAGAAAAUAAAAUACAAUAUUGAUUUCGAAUCAGCACAAAAUUUCUGAAAGAGAAGGGUGAAUACAAUUGAGUCAACUCCGGUAUAUAACAUUCUAUUGACUUGGUUUGCAGGAAGUGACUAUGCUCAGGUUUUGCAAGGUGAAUCAAGACUAUUUCAAAACCUCGGGCUGCGGAGGUCCUCUCAAAGUUCAAGAACUCUGUGAAAUAUUUUUAUAGCGAGGGCCUCGUCAGAUAUUCACAAGCCCCGCUCACCUUCUCCAACCUCGUUUCUUUGGGCCCCAGACUGAUGAACUAGCUGUGGCGAUGAUCAUUUCAGAUUUUCCAAGGUCUGUAAGACCAACCAACUGCUGGAAAACCAUAAAGAAAAAAUGUCUGCAGAGGUUAAAAUCUAGAGAAAGUGGGUUCUGUUAGAGUGAACGUCUAGGUGCAUACUUUGUGCUGGAACUGAGGACUAGCCACAGUUAUGGGUAUAUACAUCCAUACAUGUAUAUAUGAAUGUAUGUAUUUAUGUAUGUACACACAUGUGUGCGUGAAUAUAUAUAAUAUAUAUACAUAUAUGUGUGUAUGUAUGUGUAUGUAUGUGUAUAUAUAAGGGUCGCUACUUUUUGUUUACUUAUCUUAUUUUCCAUUUUUUCUCUCGUUGUUUAUGUAUUUAACUCGCUUGCUUACGUAUUUCACGUUGUUUUCACAGUUGGUGACGUCCUGUACCCAUAUAUGCAUGCUUACAUAUAUAUGCGUGGGUAUGUAUACACACACACACACACACACAUGUAUGUAUGUAUAUAUGUAUGUAUGUAUGUAUGCAUGUAUGUAUGUAUAUAUGCAUGCAUACAUGCAUGUAUGUAUGUAUGUAUGUAUGUAUGUAUGUAUGUAUGUAUGUAUGUAUGUAUGUAUGUAUGAAUAUAUGCACGAGUGAGUGAGUGAACAAAUGAAAGAGUCACUCAACACGGUAUGACUUAUAUAUAUAACUAUUUAAAACAGUUUGUUUCGGUUCUAUGGAACUUCAAGUUUCGUAGGUUCGUCAUAGGAACCUAGCUCGUCGGGCAACGAGAAAAUAGGAAAACUGAAGUCCAGGGCGAUAUGAUACACUAGUUUGAUGUAAUAUUUCUAUUGAUUGGGCAUAAGUCAUUAACUUCAAUUUGGAAUUGUAACAGCAUUAUAGUUUCGACUUGUCCAAAGCUUAUUUCUAAUCGAACUGUUGAGCAAGUUGACAGAAACGGUUUGAGAUCAAAUGGUUUCUCUCAUUCAUGCUGGUAAAUAUAAUUUAUGUAAAAGCAAGAGGCUUAAUCUGUCAAUCGGUUUAACAUAAUCUUGCUUUCGGUGUCUGUAAUGUAGUUUAUUCUCUUGUCAGCGUUCAGACCAGGUCCCUAAUCUGAGGAUAAUAUCCGUCCUUUUCCCUCGCAGUUUCGGUGACCCCGGAAGUAAUCUUGGAUCAUUCUGUCAUUUCUCUCCUGACUAAAUCAUAAUAUUUGGGUGGGCGUCCGAUUCAGUGGCUUUCCACUUCCCUAACAACCUUGGCUAAUUACCUCGUUAAUCGCCAUCAGUACAAAUUGCUUCAUAAUUGUCUGUUUUGUCGCAGUUCUGGAGAGAUCUUAAUGGCCGUGUAGAUAGGUUGUUUGGCUCUGGUACCAGUGUACCAGUAAUACACUGGUAUCUUGCCACAAGUACUUUGAAAGUAACAGCUCAGCGGUCGUCGAAACCCUUUAUGGAUGUGAAAUAGUUUUGGCUUGAUUUUUGCAUGCAUACUUGCAUAUAUAAACACAUUCAUUCAGAGAGAGAGAGAGAGAGAGAGAGAGAGAGAGAAAGAAAGAGAGAGAGAGAGAGAGAGAGAGAAAAGAGAGAGAGAGAGAGAGAGAGAGAUCAUUAUAGAAAUAAAUAUUAUAUAUUCUUGCAAAGCUUUUACAAACAGCUCAAUAAAUAUGAAUGGAUACAAUUUUAGAACGACUAUAAAAUAAUAUGACGAAGGCCUAAACAAAAAGACAUUUGAAAAUAAAGAUAAGUUAUACAUGAUCAAUGUAUGUGUAUGUUUUAAUUAUAUUUUUUUAAAAGCCAAAACAAGACAAUUUAUAAAAAUGAAACAGGCUAAUAGUACCAAGUAUUUCAAUAUUUCAGGGAUAGGACACUCCUCGUGAAAUCUUUGAAGAUAAGGUUAUUUGCUGAGUACUCUGACCUGUAAUGUGUGUGUAUUUGAUAUGCGUCACUAUAGUUACAGUCGGCUGCGUGCAACUCUGAUUUGUUAUAAUAUAUAAUGUGUAUUUCUUAAUUGAAAGAUCUUUUAUUCCUAAGUUUCAAUGGAAACCUGCAUGUGUCGGGUACAUUUCUACAGAUGCCUUUUGACGCAAGAAGCAUUAACACAGAGAUCUUCUUUAAACUCUAAAUGUAAUUGUCCGAUGUUUCUUCCGAUAGAAAAUUCGUUGCAUUAGCUAUAUAUUAAAUAAUGAAAUAUAUUAUGAUUUUAUUAUAUUGGGUUGUCCGGAAAGUUCGUGCCGAUUCAUAGUAGCUUACCUUUCGACUUAUUUUAGAACAUGGUUGAGUCCAUGAAAUAGGAUUUGACUACACCUCCAUUUAAGCUAUAUUUUCGUGGAAGAAGGUUUAUGUUCCUAUAACCUGUGUUAAUUCUGUAACCCUUUAAAAUGGAAGAUAAGGAAGUUCAUUUUCGGCACUUGAUGCUUUGGGAACCAGACAAAAAUUGCUGCAGCUCGGCUGGGAUGUGUUACCUCACCCUCCAUAUUCACCAGAUAUUGCUCCUUCGGAUUUCCACUUAUUCAGGUCUCUACAGAAUAGUCUUAAUGGUAAAAAUUUCAAUUCCUUGGAUGACGUAAAAAGAUACCUUGAUUAAUUCGUUGCCGUGAAACCACCUCAGUUCUGGAAAGAGGGUAUUUUCAAGUUAAAGGAAAGAUGGAGACGCAGUGUGCAACAAAAUGGUUCACAUUUGGUUGAUUAAAAAUGUAAUGGCAAGUAUUUAUUAACCUUUUUCUUUCCUUUAAAUAUCGGCAUGGACUUUCCGAACAGCCCAAUAGAAUUCUUCUCUUGCAUAUUUAAGUAUUGUUCUUCCCUUUUAUUUAAAUUUAUAUACUAUAUAUUUUACAACAUUUAUAUUUUCCUUUACAUUUUAUCUUUUAUUUUUUUACUUUACCUUUAUGUUUAUGUUAUUUUAUUUUAUUUUAUCUUUAUUUACAUCAAUAAUUCACUAGCUGAAUACAUACGCAUUAUACAUUAUAUAUACGAUCUAACUUCUUAAACUUAUAAGUAAUUCGUCAGCAUCCUUUCAAGAAAUAAGUUAACCUUUGUUGUAUAAGCUCAUAAAGUCCUGAUGAGGUUCUGCCCCAUAUAGUUGAAAUGAUAACCAAUUCUUAGCAUAUGACCCUACCCAAAUGCUUAGAAAUACGAAUCACUUUGGGGUAUGAAUCGAAAAAUAUAAGUAGGAUUUUGGCAUCUGCUAUUGCUUUUAGAGUUUUAUAAUUUCUAAUUUAUUUGUAUUGCUUUAAUAAAAAAAAAACUUUCAACCUCAUAAUAUCAUACAUAUAAAUUAUUUAUGUAUCCAUAAUUCUCUAUUUUCUUUCUGUCAUUAUUAACUAUAUGUAUUACUAUAGAAGUCCCUAACAUAUCGUCGAGACUUCUUCUUUGAGGACCUGACCUCCCUAAUGAGGACCUGGCAUCCUCGAAUUGACUAUAUACAUAUAUAUGUACACACUUACACACGCACACAAACACAUACACACAUGCACGCACGCACGCACGCACGCACACACACACACACACACACACACACACACACACACACACACACACACACACACAAGAAACUUCUUAUUGGCUUAGCUUUGCAAACGAAGGUUAAGAAGGGAUUUGUACACGUUGUCUGCAGGUACUUUUAUGGAAGCAGUUGAAUGUCUGGUCAGGAUUUCACACCGAUGUGUUUCAGUUCUUCCUUUUGCGUCUUUUGUCCUUGAGAAUGGCUCUGUAGAUGUUUUUGUGAGAGGAGACAAAAUGGUUAAUGGUGAGACACCAGGCGUCACGAUCCUCGGCUGGAGUGGACCACUGGUGAUGGUCGAUGUAAUAGGUACCAAAAGAUUUUUUCAAACUUCUUUCGUGUCACUCUGCCGCGUUGGCCUUUGAAGAGUUCACCGUACAACGUGAUCUUGGACAGGUUGAUGAGCCUUCCUGCUGGAGGUGUGUCCUGCCCAGCGUAGCUGGGGACUUCAGCAGCACGUUCUCCAUGCUGGUAAUCUUAAAUACUUGCUUAAGAACUUCAACAUUGAGGAUGAAGUCAUUCCAGUGGAUGCUGACAAUGAUGGUGCAGCGAUAUAUAUAUAUAUAUAUAUAUAUAUAUCUUACAUUUAGUAGGAUGCAGAGGGGCUUGCAGGAGACCACCAGGGAUAGAGAGCGCUGGGGAACUUGGUCUGCUCUACACAUGAUGACAUCUCUCCACCACUAACCUGCGAUGAUCUCAGCCACAUCUUGCAAGAGCAUGAAAUGAGAGAAGCAAGCGCGUACAAUAAUAAUAUAGGACACAUCUAUAUACGUAACAGUACAACAGCAGUGUGGUAUCCACACAUCUAUACAUAUAUAGAUAUGAAUAUACAUCCAGUUAUACACGGACACGACAAAAGUAAAUAGACAUCCUUAUAAUCGUUAAACUGUAUUUAAAUCGGAAAUUAUACAUUCAAAUUAUUUAUUAAUUGUUAUAAUGUAAAUGUCUAAUAUUUAGUAGAAUGCCCUUUACAUUUUUCAAUGUAAGGACCCUAUUAUGCAUGCUACUGAUCAUAUGACAAAUAUUCUCUUGAGGGAUUUUUUGCCAAAUUGUAUGCAGUAAUCUCAGAAGAUCUGGCUUUGAGGAUGCUUUCUUGCUCUUUUUACAUAGGGUUCUAUCCAUUAUGGCUCAGAGGUGUUCAAUGGUGUACAUAUUUAGUGACUGGCUUGGCCAGGGAAGCUUUUUAAUGCCUAUUUCUUCCAACCAAUCUUGAGUAUUUCUAGUUGUGUGACUAGGAACCCCAUCUUCCAUAAAUAAAGUCUUCCUUAAUCAUUUUACCACUAGAGAAGAUUGGAAGGAGUCCUUUCUGCAAUAUGCAUAAUAUUUAUCUGAAUUUUUGUUUCCCUCACACUCCACCAGCCCUGAUUGACCAUUGCUCCCCAGACCAUCACAGAAUGGCCUCAGUGUUUCAUUGUUGGCUGCAAUCUUUUCACAUCAAAUUCUUGAUCACAGAGUCUCGAGGCCUACACUCGACCACUCUCAGGAAAUACAGCAAAUCUGGACUCAUCAUAAAAUAUGACAGUAUGCCAAAAUGCUAGUGGCUUUUCCAUCCUCUCACUGGCCCAAUCUUUUCUUCCGAUUGAUAUUGGCUGGUCAAAGAAGUGGCUUCUUUCUUGCUGCCCUGCUACAGUAACCAAGUUUGUGGAGAUACUUGACAGCUGUUCUGGGACUGACAUCAACUCAUUCUGCUAUGUCAGAGGCCUAGCAACACUUCUCUUUACAAAGCGAAGGGUCCUGCCAGAGAGCCCUGAGUCGACCUGGGUGAGGUGAUGUGAACUUCUUCGCCUCUCUGGUGAAUUGCUCCAUGCCACACAAGCAGAACCCAGUCAUGGCUGCCAUACAACUUGAAGUUCUUUUGCCAGUUCUCGAGUAGUUUUAUUUGGAUCUUUCUCAAUGACGGUCAUUAAUUGACCGUCAUCGAUGACAGAUGGGCAUCCAAUACACUCGCGAUGUUCAAUGCUCAGGUCACCACUGCAACAUCGCUGUAACCACUUUCGAGCUGACCACUCACUGGUCAUUUCUUCACCAGACGUUUCGUUAAUAUCGCGAGCAGUUUCAGCUGCUUUACGUCAUUUUUCGAAGUUAAAUAGCAAAGUUACUCGAAUAUUGCGCUUCGACCGUUCCAUUUCAGAUGAUUGUAAUAGCUAUGAAAAAAAAUCAAAGUUAAUUUAUUGAUGCAUUUGAGCAAGUCUGUGACUGUAUUAUCAGACAAUUUCCAAAAACAUUUUUUAAAAAUUCAAAACUUUGCAAAGAUCCGCUACAAAUUCUUCAUGGUUCAAAACACUGCUUACUUUUUACUCAACCUGAUAUAUAGGCGCAGGCGUGGCUGUAUGGUAAGAUGUUUGCUUCCCAACCACAUGGUUCCGGGUUCAGUUCUCUGCGUGGAACCUUGGGCAAGUGUCUUCUACUAUAGCCUUGGGCCGAGUAAAGCCUUGUGAGUGUAUUUGGUUGACGGCAACUGGAAGAAGCCCGUUGUAUAUAUAUAUAUAUGUGUGUGUGUGUGUGUGUGUGUGUGUGUGUGUGUGUGUAUCUAUGUGUGUGUGUAUGUGUGUGUGUGUGUGUGUGUGUGUGUGUGCGUGUGUGUAUUUGUGUGUCUAUGUUUAUUCCCCUCCGUCGCUUGACAACCGAUGCUCGUAUGUUUACGUCCCCGUAACUUAGCGGUUCGGCAAAAGAGACCGAUAGAAUAAGUACUAGGCUUACAAAGAAUAAGUUCUGGGAUCAAUUUGUUCUACAAAAGACGGUGCUCAAGCAUGGCCGCAGUCAAAUUACUGAAACAAAUAAAAGAAUAAAAGAAUCUAUAUCUACAUAUAUAUAUAUACAGAAAUAUAUAUAUCUAAAUAUAUAUACAUCUAUACAAGUGCAUACAUAUACAUAUGACUGUGUAUGCUUGCGUGUGUGUACGUAUGUAUAUAUAUAUAUAGACACUCCAAAAGAUACCUCACCAUCUCACUAUCCGAAUAUAUAUGAAGUUCAAAGGAUGACCUAUAUUCACAAUUAUAAAAUCAAAUGGCUCAUAAAAGAACGUGCGUUCUCCCGGUAUUAAUUUCCCCAGAGGUAGUAAUUGUCUCUCGGAGAAGUAUAAUAUCUUGUUACAGUCUUUUGCCAUUUUUAAAAAGAAAGGUCAGAAUUGGUGAAAUAUUACUGACACUUCCAUCAAUAUUUUCUAAAGAACUCACAGCUAGCUAAACCACUUUAUUCCCCACAUAAUGUAUUUGCCAUUCUCCUCAAAAGAUACUCACAUAUUGAAAAUUGUUUAUUUUUUGAAGAAACACAUUCAGUUACCUUUCAACCAUAAACCUUCAUUAGCAAUAGUGAAUUCCCUUGCUUUGAUGUGCUUAAUAAUACGGGGGUCAUAAUAUAUCAUGUUUUCUGUAUGUAAAUUGAUUAAUAUAUCAUGUGUUCUGUUGAAUAAAUGAACGUGUAAAGCAUUUUUUAAAGACUAUUAACCACCAAACAAAUCUCAAUAGGAGAUAACAUGUAUACGCUCUCUCUCUCUCUCACACACACACACACAAACGCGUGCACCCUCUCUCUCUCCCUCCCUCUCUUUCUCUCUCUCUCCCUCCCUCUCUCUGUCUCUCUCUCUCAUACACACAUACAAACAGAGGCACACAUGUUUAUUUGAUAACUCUGAUGCAGCUCCACAUUACUUAAACUUUCGUGAACGUGGGCACAUUCACUCAUCAGAUGUUCGCAAUAAGAAAGGAGAUAACUUAAAAGAAAUUUAAAGUGGCUUCUAGUUAUUUAAGCAUCCAUUAGUCAAUUCAGAUCAUAGUUGUUUAUGCUAUCAAGCGGCCGUAGUUGUUUUAUUCUUCGAUCUAUGAGGAGCAGUCAGUAUGUCGGAGUCAUUUUGUCGCCAUUUUGCAGGAAUAUAUUUGGCGACACCAGUUCUUUAGACUGGGUGUCACAAGUGGAAGAACGGACAAGUUGUUGACGUGAAUUAAUUCAUUGUGUGACCUAAACAGACCAAUGGUGGCUUAAAAAUCUGGAUGUCAUUUUAAAUUUCCUCCACAUCUUAUGAGGAGGAAGAGUCCUACGUCCACGAAAUUUACAUAUAUAUUUCUUUACUACCCACAAGGGGCUAAACACAGAGGGGACAAGCAAGGAUGGACAAAGGGAUUUAGUUAAUCACAUCGACCACAGUGCGUAACUGGUACUUAAUUUAUCGACCCCGAAAGGAUGAAAGGCAAAGUCGACCUCGGCGGAAUUUGAACUCAGAACGUAACGGCAGACGAAAUACGGCUUCGCAUUUCGCCCGGCGUGCUAACGUUUCUGCCAGUUCGCCGCCUUUUUCGAAAUUUACAUAUAUGCACACAUUUACAUAUACAGACAUAUAUGUAUAUAUGCAUUUAUUUAUAUAUGUGUCUGGUUAUAUGUGUGUGUGUGUGAGUGCGUGUGCAAAUGUGUAUGUGUAUAAUUUUCGGAAAUGUAUAUUGAUUGAAGAGUUAAUGAUUGUCAAGAAAUUUGAUAAGCCGAACGAGAUCCUUUGUGAUGUUUCUUUCACUGGAGUUGCUCUGAGAUUUCAAGACUAAACUGCUUUGAUCAUGGUUCCACUCGAGCAGUAUUGACCUGGGACUAAAACACUAACAACAAUGUACUUAUUAAUCUUAGUGAUUCAGAUGAAGGAUGUCCGCUAUAACUGUUAUCUUAAUUAAAUUAUCUUGACUUACUUAUAUCAAGUACGCUAACGCCUACUUUACUAAGUCUUCAUCCAACUUGUGUCACUGGGAGUGCAACUUUAGUGUAUGGUCUACCUCAGUAUCCGUACGCUAGGCCGUCAUAUUACGUGAUCGGGAUUAGGAUUAGGGCUUCGGUUUAAGGUUAAAGUAAAAGUUAAACUGGGUUGUAGCUGUGCUACCAACAUAAAAAACUAAAAUUAAUCCAACUAAAUUAACUGAGGGUAACUACAUGCAAAAAUACGAAGACAUGUCUGUUAGCCAGUCAUGCAAUACUAAAGGGAUUAUUAUACAUGCACCCUCCCCCAAAUACACUCACACACGUACAUGUGUAUACGUAUGUAUAUAUGUAUAUAUAUAUAUAUAUAUAUACCAGCGAUAAUAAUUAAUUUUAUUUUAUCGCAUUCUGACUUUGUUUAUAUAUAUAUAUAUAUAUAUAUAUAUAUAUAUAUAUAUAGUUAAUCCAAACAAGAAAACACAAAAAACAAAAAAGCACAACAACGCGAUGACGUGGAACAAAUAAAGUAUUAUUGGACGCUCAGGAAAGAAGGGAAGAAGGAGAGUUUAACGUUUCGAGCGGAGCUCUUCAUCGGAAACAUAGGAAAAGGAAAGAUCCCGAGAAGGGAAGACAGAGGAAAAAAUCGCCAGCGCUACUCACGAGGUCACAUAUUGAAAGACCGGAAGUAGAAAGGUGGAAGAAUAAUGUUUUUUAAAGACAGGAGAGUUUUCAAAGACAGUAGGUAGUAUGUCAAAGACAAGGAAAGUGAGGGGGGAAUGUGUGUGGAUGUGUGCGUGCGCGGAGGUCUGCAUAUGCGCGUGUGUGUGUAUGUGUGCAAUGAUGACACGUGUGUGUAUGUGUGCAAUGAUGACACGUGUGUGUGCGUGUGUGUGUGUGUAUGUGUAUAUGGCGAACAACUGGCUAGUAGCUGGCCAGUUUGUAAGAAUAAGGAGUGGUGUUUUUUGUGUCCAGCCACAGGUCAAAACAAAGAGGUAUGUGUGUGUGCGUGUAUGUAUAUGUAUCAUGUGUGUGUUUUGUUUGUAGUGUGUGAGUGUAUGUGUGUGUUCGUGUGUGUAUGCGUAGAGUUUGGGUGUGUGGCGAGAAACUGUGCUUAACUUAGUGUAUGUGUGCGUGUGUGCUUGUACGUGCGUGUGUGUACAAAUGUAGAAGUUUAUAUGUGUGUUUAUAUGUUUAUAUGUGUGUAUAUAUAUGUAUGCAAGCACACACUUUAUAAUUGAAAGAUUGAUAUAUACAUAUACAUAUAUAUAUAUAUAUAUAUAUAUAUAUAUAUAUAGAGAGAGAGAGAGAGAGAGAGAGAGAGAGAAGAGAGAGAGAGAGAGAAAGAGAGAGAGAGAGAGAGAUAACAAAAAGGGACAACAAAACAUCCAGAUAUACGAUACAAAAAAACAAGGUAAUGUCAUUCGAAGCUUUCUAUCCUCAGUCAAGAACCGGAUCAUCCUCGCAAUUUUGGCUGAUUAUCGUCUAUGGAUGUUUUGUUGUCCCUUUUUGUAUCACCUAGUUGUCCGGAUCUUUUGCGUUCUUGUCCCAUUUUGUAUUAUAUAGAUAGAUAGAUAGAUAGAUAGAUAGAUAGAUAGAUAGAUAGAUAGAUAGAUAGAUAGAUAGAUAGAUAGAUUUGGCAAAAAAUGACCAUCUCGAAAUACAAUAUAUACAUAUAUAUAUAUAUUAGCAGUAAUACCCGUCGUUGAUCGGGUAGUUACUUUUAUUAUUUCCCGGGCCGAGAAGCUAGAAAAUAGUUAUAUCACAUAGAAGUAUAGCUUUACGGAAUCUAAGUGACUGCGAUGGCACUGUAAAGGCUACAGGUCAAAUGGAACAUCCAUUUGUCACUAUUUCUGUUGACGUUUGAAUAGGCGGUAUGUGAAAGAGAAUUGAAAGAUUCAGUUUUUUGAAACUGCGCCAGAAUGAGACUACGCCUACAGAUUUAGGUUUAGUCGUCCUAUAUGUGUGUAUUAUGUAAGAGAAAAAUAUGUAAUAAUUGAAGUAGAAAAAAGAUGGAUUUCAUAUACGAAUUUCUGUUUGUUCUUCAAGUUACAAUCCAGCUACUUUUAGUAUUUGGCCCUGAGUUUUAUUAAUUCUCAUGGCAAAAGAAAGCGCGAUAGGAAACUGUAACAGCUUAAAUUUGAAUGGGACGUUAGGUGGUAUAACUGGUAUGCAAGGAACGAAAACAGUGUUAGCUUUAUCACAACCGGAGAGAAUAUUUGCCUCAAUGCAGUUCCUCAUAGGAUUGUGUACAAUUAAUGUUGUACCAUUGCAUAAUUUUUGUUGAGACAAAUUAGGCAAUAGCAUAAUAGGAGAUAUAGAGAAAACAUAAUAGCUUCCCUUGAACCAUCUACUUUCAUUUUGGUGGACAAACAAACGAACAAAUACACAAACGGAAAGAAUCUCUCUUUUAUAUGUAUAUAGAUAUAUGAUAUAAUAUAAUAUAAUAAUAGAUAGAUACAUAUACAUAAUAGCUUCCUUUGAACCAUUUAAUCUCAGUCUGGUGGACAAACAAAUGAACAAACACACAAUCGGACAGAACUCCUCUUAUAUAUAUAUAUAUACAAUCUAUAUAUAUAUAUAAACAAUCUCUCUCUCUCUCUCUCUCUAUAUAUAUAUAUAUAUAUAUAUAUAUAUAUACAAUCUUUUACUCUUUUACUUGUUUCAGUCAUUUGACUGCAGCCAUACUGGAGCACCACCUUUAGUCGAAGAAAUCGACCCCAGGACUUAUUCUAUCGGUCUCUUUGCCGAACCACUAAGUGACGGGGACGUAAAUACACCACCAUCAAGCGAUGCUGGGGGACAAACACUGACAUACAAACACGCACACACAUACACACACACACGCGCAUACACACACACACACACACACACAUAUUUAUAUAUACAUACAUAUAUACGACGGGCUUCUUUCAUUUUCCGUCUACCAAAUCCACUCACAAGACUUUAGUCAGCCCGAAGCUAUUGUAGAAGACACUUUCCCAAGGUGCCAUGCAGUGGGACUGAACCCGGAACCAUGUGGUUGGUAAGCAAGCUACUUAACACACAGCCACUCCUGCGCCAAUAUAUAUAUAUAUAUAUAUAUAUAUAUAUAUAUAUAUAUAUAUAUAUAAAGAGAGAGAGAGAGAGAGAGAGAGAGAGAGAGAUAGAUAGAUAGAUAGAUAGAUAGAUAGAUAGAUAGAUAGAUAGAUAGAUAAGAUAUAAGAUAAAAUAAAAUAAGAAGAAAAAGCAUAAUAGUUUUCCUUGAACUAUUUACUUUCAUUUUGGAGGGCAAACGAACAAUCACACAAACGGUCAGAAUCUUUGUCUCUUCUCUCUCUCUCUCUCUCUCUCUCUCUCUCUCUCUCUCUCUCUGUAUAUAUAUAUAUAUAUACACAGAGA